rnacentral:rRNA from 1 species
GGAAGUAAAAGUCGUAACAAGGUUUCCGUAGGUGAACCUGCGGAAGGAUCAUUACAGUAACAUGCUGUAGACUGGUGUCUUGGAUUAAAACCAUGGGGACGGAAGAGGAGGCCUUUUGCCUCUGCAGAUUUGCUGCUCCCUCGUGUGGCCUAUGCGUAUCCCGUUAAUCGCCGUACGUAUAGGACUCCAACACCGCCAAACCUUGCAAACAAACUUAGACGUUACCUCGGCGGGUUUGCCCGCUGGUGGAUAAUAUAUAAACUCUUUUAAAUAUUAGCUGUAAUUAGUGGAACAGUCUGAAAAUAUGUUAAUAUUUUAAAACUUUCAACAACGGAUCUCUUGGUUCUGGCAUCGAUGAAGAACGCAGCGAAAUGCGAUAAGUAGUGUGAAUUGCAGAAUUCAGUGAAUCAUCGAAUCUUUGAACGCACAUUGCGCCCCUCGGUAUCCCGGGGGGCAUGCCUGUUCGAGCGUCAUUUCUACCACUCAAGUUUACUUGGUAUUGGGCACUGUGGCCCCCUUUAAAAAGGGGCAACACGCCUUAAAUUUAGCCGGCAGCAAGCACUAGUUCCGAGCGUAGCAGUAAAACAUUUCGCUUUGGGGGCUUUAGAGCAUUGUUCACCGUAUAGUUUACUACAGUUUGACCUCGGAUCAGGCAGGGAUACCCGCUGAACUUAAGCAUAUCAAUAAGCGGAGGA